GGGGCCGAUCUGGAUUUGACAGUGAGAUGAAUGAUCCUGUAAGCAUGUCGAGUUUUUUGUGUGGUGACUCGUUAAUCUUAAUGCACAAGUCAGAAAUGACAACACUUCUUACGCGCUCGCGGCUUAAUCAGACCAAGUCUGUUAACCUAAUUCCAGUCUCUAGGAGGCGGAACGAGCUACCUCGCCGAUAGGUAUUGCUCUUUUCCUAUAAGCACUGAGGUAUCGUAAAAUUGGAGCUAGAGAAGGCCGAGCUUGCAGGCCUGAUCGAAAUCAACACAAGCUAAGCCGAUAGUGGGGUGACAAUGGUCAGCUAUCGGUCGAAAAUCACACAUUGUCUAAACAUGUAGAAAGCUUGAAAAUUCCUCGUUUGGACGCGGGUUCGACUCCCGCCGGCUCCACCU
rnacentral:tmRNA from 1 species